rnacentral:lncRNA from 12 species
CCAGUAAAAUGUCAUAAGACUACAGAGCCAAUUCUUUAUUACUUCAAUAAAUCUAAACAUAUAACACUAUGGUUUUAACAACAACCCGUUGUGUUGUUGUAAUUUUAACACAAAUAGCAAUUGAGUGUGUCUGGUAUGAUGUGUUCCCACAAUUUCGAGGUCGCCCUGCUGACUGAGCAUAAUUCCAUUCCCUCCCCACCCCGCCCACUGAUAGUUACCAAGGUUCUCCUUUGUAACCGCUCGGCUAUUUGACCAGGUAGAGAUGCCAGUUGGUGCUGGCAUCACUGUCCUUCAUUUCUGAGGACCCCCAGAGCAAUUCCCUGUCCCUGUCUAGCUGGGCAAUUUACCAGCAGAGCAGAGAAUCUCCUGGAUGCCAGAUCUGGAAGCUGGGUUUUCGGCCACCGGAAGCCCCUGCUUGUGCUCCUGUUCCCAUAUGCCAGACUCUCAGGCUGCUGAAGUUCCCAUUUCCCUGAACACACCCACAGUAGCACACAAGGACAAAUGCCUUGAUUGGUGCAGUAACACCUGAACUUCCUUGAGGCAGUAUUCUCCUAUGGAAUUUAACAUUUUUAUAUAUUAGUAACUCAACAAGAGUUGUUGAAUUGAAUAGAUAAUCUGGUUUGAAUCUUUCUAUCUGCUCAUCUCUAUGUAUAAUCAUGUAAAGAAAUCUUGUUAAAAAAAAGCUAAGCUAACAUUAAAAUUAUUCAAAAUGUAUACAAAUAUUUUGGAGUGAUUUCUGACAUUUAGAUCUGUCUUUGCCCAAUAUUUGGAUGUCUUGAUAAGAAAACAAGAACUAAACCAAUAUUUGAGUUACUCAAAAGAUCAGGUGCCAGGUUAACACAUUUUGAAUGCUAUUUUGGCUUCAGAAAACUCCAACUGCAGAAGUAAAAAUUAAAUACCAACACAGGCUCUACAUACAUAAGUAAGCACAUCAACGUAAGUUUUACCCUCCUUGCAAAGUCAGUCGUGCUUGCUGACUACACACAAUUGGCCCAGGUCACACUAUAGCACAUGUAUGGAAGAAAAUGCAGUAUUCCUCCAUUCAACCAAAAUGGAUUUCCUGAAUAUCCACAGCCAGUGUACCUGUAGAAUACAGAAUGGGGAACACAAAGGACUAAUAAGAUAGGGCCCCACUCUUCUUGGAGAGAUAAAAUUAGCACAGUUAAAAUAGAUACAAAAGAAAGUGAAUGUAGGAUCCAAU